rfam:Camelus ferus unplaced genomic scaffold scaffold282, whole genome shotgun sequence.
GAGUGUAUAGUUCAGUGGUAGAGUACGUGUUUAGCAUGCGCAAGGUCCUGGGUUCAAUCCCCAGUACCUCCA